UACGUAGGGGGCAAGCGUUAUCCGGGAUUACUGGGUGUAAAGGGAGCGUAGACGGUAAUGUAAGUCUGGAGUGAAAGGCGGGGGCCCAACCCCCGGACUGCUCUGGAAACUAUGUUACUAGAGUGCAGGAGAGGUAAGCGGAAUUCCUAGUGUAGCGGUGAAAUGCGUAGAUAUUAGGAGGAACACCAGUGGCGAAGGCGGCUUACUGGACUGUAACUGACGUUGAGGCUCGAAAGCGUGGGGAGCAAACAGG
rnacentral:rRNA from 1 species